GAUGAACGCUGGCGGCGUGCCUAAUACAUGCAAGUCGAGCGAACGGACGAGAAGCUUGCUUUUCUGAUGUUAGCGGCGGACGGGUGAGUAACACGUGGAUAACCUACCUAUAAGACUGGGAUAACUUCGGGAAACCGGAGCUAAUACCGGAUAAUAUUUUGAACCGCAUGGUUCAAAAGUGAAAGACGGUCUUGCUGUCACUUAUAGAUGGAUCCGCGCUGCAUUAGCUAGUUGGUAAGGUAACGGCUUACCAAGGCAACGAUGCAUAGCCGACCUGAGAGGGUGAUCGGCCACACUGGAACUGAGACACGGUCCAGACUCCUACGGGAGGCAGCAGUAGGGAAUCUUCCGCAAUGGGCGAAAGCCUGACGGAGCAACGCCGCGUGAGUGAUGAAGGUCUUCGGAUCGUAAAACUCUGUUAUUAGGGAAGAACAUAUGUAUAAGUAACUGUGCACGUCUUGACGGUACCUAAUCAGAAAGCCACGGCUAACUACGUG
rnacentral:rRNA from 1 species